CACUACGGCCAUGCCACCCUGAACAAGCCCAAUCCUGUCUGAUCUCAGAAGCUAAGCAGGGUCAGGCCUGGUUAGUACUUGGAUGGGAGACCACCUAGGAAGACCAGGUGCUAUAGGCA
rnacentral:rRNA from 1 species